AAUAUACUCCCUCCGUUUGGAAUUACUUGUCUUAAAUAUAGAUGUAUCUAGAACUAAAAUACGUCUAUAUACAUCCAUUUCUACAACAAAUAAUUCCAAACGGAGGGAGUACUAU
rfam:Triticum urartu cultivar G1812 contig1068462, whole genome shotgun sequence.